GACAGAGGGUGCAAACGUUGCUCGGAUUGACUGGGCGUAAAGGGCGCGUAGGCGGAUAGUACAGUCAGGCGUGAAAUUCCUGGGCUCAACCUGGGGGCUGCGUUUGAUACGUAUUGUCUGGAGUUCGGAAGAGGGUCGUGGAAUUCCCAGUGUAGAGGUGAAAUUCGUAGAUAUUGGGAAGAACACCGGUGGCGAAGGCGGCGACCUGGUCCGAUACUGACGCUGAGGCGCGAAAGCGUGGGGAGCAAACAGG
rnacentral:rRNA from 1 species